rnacentral:tRNA from 1 species
GGGCGGCGUGACGGAGGACCGCUCGGUGCUCUCCCGGAGCGCCCCCGCGCCCGACGCGACCGUGCGCUACGGCCCGCUGCCCG